UACCAAGGCAACGAUGCGUAGCCGACCUGAGAGGGUGAUCGGCCACAUUGGAACUGAGACACGGUCCAGACUCCUACGGGAGGCAGCAGUGGGGAAUAUUGCGCAAUGGGGGAAACCCUGACGCAGCAACGCCGCGUGGGUGAUGAAGGUCUUCGGAUUGUAAAGCCCUGUUUUCUGGGACGAUAAUGACGGUACCAGAGGAGGAAGCCACGGCUAACUACGUGCCAGCAGCCGCGGUAAUACGUAGGUGGCGAGCGUUGUCCGGAUUUACUGGGCGUAAAGGGUGCGUAGGCGGAUGUUUAAGUGGGAUGUGAAAUCCCCGGGCUUAACCUGGGGGCUGCAUUCCAAACUGGAUAUCUAGAGUGCAGGAGAGGAAAGCGGAAUUCCUAGUGUAGCGGUGAAAUGCGUAGAGAUUAGGAAGAACACCAGUGGCGAAGGCGGCUUUCUGGACUGUAACUGACGCUGAGGCACGAAAGCGUGGGUAGCAAACAGGAUUAGAUACCCUGGUAGUCCACGCCGUAAACGAUGGAUACUAGGUGUAGGGGGUAUCAACUCCCUCUGUGCCGCAGUUAACACAAUAAGUAUCCCGCCUGGGGAGUACGGUCGCAAGAUUAAAACUCAAAGGAAUUGACGGGGGCCCGCACAAGCAGCGGAGCAUGUGGUUUAAUUCGAAGCAACGCGAAGAACCUUACCUGGACUUGACAUCCCUUGCAUAGCCUAGAGAUAGGUGAAGCCCUUCGGGGCAAGGAGACAGGUGGUGCAUGGUUGUCGUCAGCUCGUGUCGUGAGAUGUUAGGUUAAGUCCUGCAACGAGCGCAACCCUUGUUAUUAGUUGCUACCAUUAAGUUGAGCACUCUAAUGAGACUGCCUGGGUAACCAGGAGGAAGGUGGGGAUGACGUCAAAUCAUCAUGCCCCUUAUGUCCAGGGCUACACACGUGCUACAAUGGUAGGUACAAUAAGACGCAAGACCGUGAGGUGGAGCAAAACUUAUAAAACCUAUCUCAGUUCGGAUUGUAGGCUGCAACUCGCCU
rnacentral:rRNA from 1 species